ACAGCAGCCGCCGCGGGAAUACGUAGGGUGCAAGCGUUAAUCGGAAUUACUGGGCGUAAAGCGUGCGCAGGCGGUGUUGUAAGACUGAUGUGAAAUCCCCGGGCUCAACCUGGGAACUGCAUUGGUGACUGCAACGCUGGAGUGCGGCAGAGAGGGAUGGAAUUCCGCGUGUAGCAGUGAAAUGCGUAGAUAUGCGGAGGAACACCGAUGGCGAAGGCAAUCCCCUGGGCCUGCACUGACGCUCAUGCACGAAAGCGUGGGGAGCAAACAGGAUUAGAUACCCCGGUAGUCCCUGUCUCUUAUAC
rnacentral:rRNA from 1 species